GGCGGGGCCGGGCGGAAGGCUGGGCCGGACUAUUAGGAACUACUUAACGGAAAAGGGUGCGCAGGUUUAGUGUUGAGAAUGAUAAUACCGUAUAAUUCUGUUUUAUUAACUCUGCAUCUUCGCUUGCCAUGGUACUAGGCUUGAGCGCCGGCGAGCAUGGCGGGGAGUUAGAACUUGAAUAGAUUCUACAAAAAUGUGAAAACUAUGAACUGUAUUACGGAGUCUGACGACUAAGCUGGUCAGAAAGGUGCCCCUGUUGAGCACAGCUUUGAAGAGAGAGUGGUAUUCAUUAAGGCAAAGGCUGGGGAAGGGCGUUCCGGGCAGAAAGAACUGCUUGUGCAGAGAGCAUCACCAGUACAGGUUGCCCUGCCAUCGCCAUUAAAGUGGGAAACCAGAAGCCUGCAACUACUAACAGGCCACCCGACUACCCAGGAAAGCGCUCUGUGCCUGCCUUUAGAGGCGUGUGGAUCUGUGAACAACGCUGCAGCAGCCUGGAAGACCCAAACUGAAGAUUGCAGAGAGCUCUGACGGUUUUUAUUUACAUUUUUGUUUGUCUUCGAGUUUAGGAUAUUAAAACACACACAACUCGU
rnacentral:lncRNA from 1 species